rnacentral:rRNA from 1 species
UACGUAGGGAGCAAGCGUUGUUCGGAUUUACUGGGCGUAAAGGGCGCGUAGGCGGCGCGGUAAGUCACUUGUGAAAUCUCUGAGCUUAACUCAGAACGGCCAAGUGAUACUGCAGUGCUAGAGUGCAGAAGGGGGCAACUGGAAUUCUCGGUGUAGCGGUGAAAUGCGUAGAUAUCGAGAGGAACACCUGAGGUGAAGACGGGUUGCUGGGCCGACACUGACGCUGACAGCGCGAAAGCCAGGGGAGGCAAACGGG